CCCUUAGAUGUCCUGGGCCGCACGCGCGUUACACUGAUGCAUUCAACGAGCUUAUAACCUUGGCCGAGAGGCCUGGGCAAUCUUGUUAACGUGCAUCGUGAUAGGGAUAGAUUAUUGAAAUUAUUAAUCUUGAACGAGGAAUUCCUAGUAAACGCAGAUCAUCAAUCUGCAUUGAUUACGUCCCUGCCCUUUGUACACACCGCCCGUCGCACCUACCGAUUGGAUGGUCCGGUGACGCCUCGGGAUUGUGGUUCUUGCCGCUUUAUUGUGGCGUGACCGCGAGAACUUGUCUAAACCUUAUCAUCUAGAGGAAGGUGAAGUCGUAACA
rnacentral:rRNA from 1 species